rnacentral:rRNA from 1 species
ACGCACGCUGGCGGCAGGCCUCACCCCUGCAAGUCGAGCGGACAUCUUCGGAUGUUAGCGGCGGACGGGUGAGUAACGCGUGGGAACGUGCCCUUUGCUUCGGAAUAGCCUCGGGAAACUGGGAGUAAUACCGGAUGUACCCUUUGGGGGAAAGAUUUAUCGGCAAAGGAUCGGCCCGCGUUGGAUUAGGUAGUUGGUGGGGUAAUGGCCUACCAAGCCGACGAUCCAUAGCUGGUUUGAGAGGAUGAUCAGCCACACUGGGACUGAGACACGGCCCAGACUCCUACGGGAGGCAGCAGUGGGGAAUCUUAGACAAUGGGGGAAACCCUGAUCUAGCCAUGCCGCGUGAGCGAUGAAGGCCUUAGGGUUGUAAAGCUCUUUCACCGGGGAAGAUAAUGACGGUACCCGGAGAAGAAGCCCCGGCUAACUCCGUG